GACAGAGGGUGCAAACGUUGCUCGGAUUUACUGGGCGUAAAGCGCAAGUAGGCGGUCUUGUAAGUCGGGUGUGAAAACCCAGGGCUCAACCCUGGCAGUGCACACGAUACUGCGAGACUGGGGUACUGAAGAGGAGAGCGGAAUUCUCGGUGUAGAGGUGAAAUUCGUAGAUAUCGGGAGGAACACCAGUGGCGAAGGCGGCUCUCUGGGCAGAUACCGACGCUGAGAUGCGAAAGCGUGGGAAGCAAACAGG
rnacentral:rRNA from 1 species